rnacentral:lncRNA from 1 species
UUUCUUUUUAUUAACUCAUUGAGGUCCACAAUAUAUUUCAAAAUAAACUUUAUUUUUAUUGCAUAUAUAUAUUAAUUUUGUGAAAUUAGUAUUACAUAAGUAUAAUCUAAAUAAAUCUGGAAUUACUGUCUUUAUGACAAAAAUCUAUUUUUAUGAUGGCUGCCAUUAAUGAUUUUGCAAUUAUGGUGGCCAAUAAAUUGAGUGGCCAUAAUGGAAGCUAUUGUAUUUCCACCAUGCAAUAUUCAUAUUUAAUUUUGGGUCUCAUAUCUCUCAGACUUUUUAGAUGUUCCAGCUUGAUCCAUUCAAAUCCUAUCCAUCAUCUGAUUGCCCACUGUUACCAUGGUUGUGAACAGCUGUAUUGAGUAUUGGGAUGCCAACUGCUUAGUAUCCAGUAAAAAUGAAAGUGGGAUAAUACAAAAGAAAAAAUGGAGUCAGACUAAUCUUUGAAAAAAAAUGGUCAGACUGGAAUUGGAUUUAAAAAUUAGAUUUCAUGUCAAUUCAGAAAUAUUUUCUGAACUGUCAUACAGUAAAUGCAAUGAAAUAUAAUAAAUUAAUUCUAUAUUAUCUAAUCAAAAGCACAGACCGGCAGUUGUAAACUCCAAUAAUUUUUUUGUUUUAUUACUAACGUUUUCGGCGCCAAUGGCGUCCUCAUCGG